CAUCCUCUUACUGGUUCUUAAUUUCUUUUGAGGCAGCAAGAGAUAGUAGUUACAUCUUCACCGAAGGACAAACCAUAGGGGAAAGGACCGGGUAUGAUCCAAAAGUUUGGAAGUCACCGGUCUAGGUGUCAGAUGAUGAUGGCUUGGAUUUGGCAGUGUAGUGGAGAAGAGAAGUCGAUGCAAUUGGGGUUCGAUGCACCAUGGAAAACCUGCUCUCCUCCUCUUCCACGCUCCCCCGGAUAACCCACCCACACCCAAGGCGUUAGUGAACUACAUUCAUCUUAAUUAAAAUUUUGUCCCCA